UUCCGGUUGAUCCUGCCGGACCUUACUGCUAUCGGGAUGAGACUAAGCCAUGCAUGUCGAGCGCUCUCCAGCUAUGUAGAGAGCGCGGCGAACGGCUCAAUAACACGUAGUUAACCUACCCUCGGGAUGGGAAUAACCCCGGGAAACUGGGAUUAAUACCCAAUAGAUGAUUAUACCUGGAAUGGCUUAUCAUCGAAAGAGUCUGGAAACAUGCUUCCAGCGUCGCCCGAGGAUGGGACUGCGUCCGAUCAGGUUGUUGGUGGGGUAAUGGCCUACCAAGCCUAUAACCGGUACGGGCCCUGAGAGGGGGAGCCCCGGAGAUGGAAACUGAGAAAAGGUUCCAGGCCCUACGGGGUGCAGCAGGCGCGAAACCUCCACAAUGCGCGAAGSCGUGAUGGGGUUAUCCCGAGUGCCGUCCGAUGAGGAUGGCUUUUCAUUGGUGUAAGAAUCCGAUGGAAUAAAGGGGGGGCAAGACUGGUGUCAGCCGCCGCGGUAAUACCAGCCCCCUGAGUGGUAAGGACGAUUAUUUGGCCUAAAGCGUUCGUAGCCGGCUUAACAAGUCUUUUGUUAAAUCCAACGAUUCAAUCGUUGGGCUGCAAAAGAUACUGUUAUGCUAGAGGACGGGAGAGGUCGACGGUAGUCCAGGGGUAGGGGUGAAAUCCUAUAAUCCUUGGAGGACCACCAGUGGCGAAGGCGGUCGACUAGAACGUGCCUGACGGUGAGGGACGAAAGCUGGGGGAGCGAACCGGAUUAGAUACCCGGGUAGUCCCAGCUGCAAACGAUGCGGGCUAGGUGUUGGGGCAGCCACGAGCUGCUCCAGUGCCGCAGAGAAGUUGUUAAGCCCGCCGCCUGGGGAGUACGGCCGCAAGGCUGAAACUUAAAGGAAUUGGCGGGGGAGCACCACAAGGGGUGAAGGCUGCGGUUUAAUUGGAUUCAACGCCGGGA
rnacentral:rRNA from 1 species